GAUGAACGCUGGCGGCGUGCCUAAUACAUGCAAGUCGAGCGAACGGACGAGAAUCUUGCUUCUCUGAUGUUAGCGGCGGACGGGUGAGUAACACGUGGAUAACCUACCUAUAAGACUGGGAUACCUUCGGGAAACCGGAUCUAAUACCCGAUAAUAUUUUGAACCUCAUGGUUCAUAAGUGCAAGACGGUCUUGCUGUCACUUAUAGAUGUAUCCUCGCUGCAUUAGCUAGUUGGUAAGGUAACGGCUUACCAAGGCAACGAUGCGUAGCCGACCUGAGAGGGUGAUCGGCCACACUGGAACUGAGACACGGUCCAGACUCCUACGGGAGGCAGCAGUAGGGAAUCUUCCGCAAUGGGCGAAAGCCUGACGGAGCAACGCCGCGUGAGUGAUGAAGGUCUUCGGAUCGUAAAGCUCUGUUAGUAGGGAAGAACAUAUGUGUAAGAAAAUGUGCACAUCUUGACGGUACCUAAACAGAAAGCCACGGCUAACUACGUG
rnacentral:rRNA from 1 species